UGCAAGUCGAACGGUAACAGGAAGCAGCUUGCUGCUUCGCUGACGAGUGGCGGACGGGUGAGUAAUGUCUGGGAAACUGCCUGAUGGAGGGGGAUAACUACUGGAAACGGUAGCUAAUACCGCAUAACGUCGCAAGACCAAAGAGGGGGACCUUCGGGCCUCUUGCCAUCGGAUGUGCCCAGAUGGGAUUAGCUUGUUGGUGGGGUAACGGCUCACCUAGGCGACGAUCCCUAGCUGGUCUGAGAGGAUGACCAGCCACACUGGAACUGAGACACGGUCCAGACUCCUACGGGAGGCAGCAGUGGGGAAUAUUGCACAAUGGGCGCAAGCCUGAUGCAGCCAUGCCGCGUGUAUGAAGAAGGCCUUCGGGUUGUAAAGUACUUUCAGCGGGGAGGAAGGGAGUAAAGUUAAUACCUUUGCUCAUUGACGUUACCCGCAGAAGAAGCACCGGCUAACUCCGUGCCAGCAGCCGCGGUAAUACGGAGGGUGCAAGCGUUAAUCGGAAUUACUGGGCGUAAAGCGCACGCAGGCGGUUUGUUAAGUCAGAUGUGAAAUCCCCGGGCUCAACCUGGGAACUGCAUCUGAUACUGGCAAGCUUGAGUCUCGUAGAGGGGGGUAGAAUUCCCAGGUGUAGCGGUGAAAUGCGUAGAGAUCUGGAGGAAUACCGGUGGCGAAGGCGGCCCCCUGGACGAAGACUGACGCUCAGGUGCGAAAGCGUGGGGAGCAAACAGGGAUUAGAUACCCUGGUAGUCCACGCCGUAAACGAUGUCGACUUGGAGGUUGUGCCCUUGAGGCGUGGCUUCCGGAGCUAACGCGUUAAGUCGACCGCCUGGGGAGUACGGCCGCAAGGUUAAAACUCAAAUGAAUUGACGGGGGCCCGCACAAGCGGUGGAGCAUGUGGUUUAAUUCGAUGCAACGCGAAGAACCUUACCUGGUCUUGACAUCCACAGAACUUUUCAGAGAUGGAUUUGUGCCUUCGGGAACUGUGAGACAGGUGCUGCAUGGCUGUCGUCAGCUCGUGUUGUGAAAUGUUGGGUUAAGUCCCGCAACGAGCGCAACCCUUAUCCUUUGUUGCCAGCGGUCCGGCCGGGAACUCAAAGGAGACUGCCAGUGAUAAACUGGAGGAAGGUGGGGAUGACGUCAAGUCAUCAUGGCCCUUACGACCAGGGCUACACACGUGCUACAAUGGCGCAUACAAAGAGAAGCGACCUCGCGAGAGCAAGCGGACCUCAUAAAGUGCGUCGUAGUCCGGAUUGGAGUCUGCAACUCGACUCCAUGAAGUCGGAAUCGCUAGUAAUCGUGGAUCAGAAUGCCACGGUGAAUACGUUCCCGGGCCUUGUACACACCGCCCGUCACACCAUGGGAGUGGGUUGCAAAAGAAGUAGGUAGCUUAACCUUCGGGAGGGCG
rnacentral:rRNA from 1 species